rnacentral:rRNA from 1 species
GACGAACGCUGGCGGCGUGCUUAACACAUGCAAGUCGAACGGAAAGGCCCUGCUUUUGUGGGGUGCUCGAGUGGGGAACGGGUGAGUAACACGUGAGUAACCUGCCCUUGACUUUGGGAUAACUUCAGGUAACUGGGGCUAAUAUCGGAUAGGAGAUCCUGCUUCAUGGUGGGGGUUGGAAAGUUUCGGCGGUUGGGGAUGGACUCGCGGCUAUUCAGCUUGUUGGUGGGGUAGUGGCUUACCCAGGAUUUGACGGGUCGCCGGCCUGUGAGGGUGGACGGCGACAUUGGGACUGAGAUACGGCCCAGACUCCUACGGGAGGCAGCAGUGGGGAAUAUUGCACAAUGGGCGGAAGCCUGAUGCAGCAACGCCGCGUGCGGGAUGACGGCCUUCGGGUUGUAAACCGCUUUCGCCUGUGACGAAGCGUGAGUGACGGUAAUGGGUAAAGAAGCACCGGCUAACUACGUG